AUGUCACAGAGUCAGAGCAGUGCUGGAAGACACCUUAUGAGGAGGAAUCUGAGGAUCAGAGAGCUGAAGCAGGAUGUAAGUUCUGCUGGGCUUCCCUGCUUGCACUGCAUUAUGGGAAGGGCCUCAUCAGCCUUUCCUCUGGGUCUCUGGCUUGACAUGAGCAGCUGCUCCUGGAUUUAUCCCACAGAAUGGCCAUUAUAGUUGAUGAAAAUGCUCAGCCCCAAAGCCUUGGGGAAGAGGAAUAGCCAGGGUAAGUGGAGCUUUAAUUAAUGCCGGUGGGACAGAGCUGGGGUCCAAGAGGCUCCUGCAAGCAGCCAAUGUCUCUAAUGAUGUUCUUGGGAAGCCAGGGCCGGGGAUGGAGCCUGCCCCAGAGAUGGGGCUGAGCGGCUCCGCGCCUGCCAAGUUGUUUAAAGAAGGUAUAAAUCCACCAGGCCCAGAAAACAGGCCCGGAAGGAAUGUCUGAACGGCUCCCCGGAGCCCGCCCGGGCAGGGGAUAAAUAAAGGAGGUCGUUAC
rnacentral:lncRNA from 1 species